rnacentral:sRNA from 1 species
AAGGAUUAUUUCCACAUUCCUCUCUCUGAAGACAAACAAGGCAGGCGGUAUCUGGAGUUAAUGUAUGCUGGAGCCGCUCUAAAGGACAGUUGGAGUCUUGCUGAUGUUGGAAUACCUUUCUGUUCAACUCUCAAAUGCUUUGUUAAGGAAGAAGACAAGCCUACUCUAUACGUGUUCAAUGCUGUAACUCAAGACACAAUGCCAGUAAUGGAGAGCAUUUCCCUUCUUGAUAAAACAGUGUCUGAUCUGAGAACACUGGUAACUCUGAGAUGUGGGCUCCCCGUGAGUGUCUACUGUCUCCGAACCCCAAGGGGCCUGGAGAUGUAUGAUUGCAACAACCUCAAGGACUACCAGACUGAUAUCGGUACUGCCCAGUAUAUUUGAUAUCAGCUACCAUUCGGCACUAGGGUCCUUUGAUACCAGAUUUUGCAGCUUUUCAAGAGAAAAUGGAAAUCUAGAUUUUCAUAUACAAUCUGUUAACUUUAUUUACAUAUUCACUUUAAAACAGUUAAUACAUUUACAUGGUUUAAAUAUCAGAAGUGAAAAAGGAUGUGUAGUGGUAAGUUUCCCUCCCUCUCCUGGCCCUACAAGCACUUAGUUCCCUCCUCACAGGCAACCAUUAUUGUUUUGAAGAUUUACAAUCAAAACAAUUUCCAAAUUAAAUCUGAACAGAUGGAGGCAUUAUUUCUAAAUGGAAACCUCUGUAAGUUCAGUAUGGAUAUGAAUUAUCAACAUUUCAUUCUUGGGUCUGGGUCUACAGACUAAGAAAUAAGGAGAGUCUCAUAGCCCUGUCAAGUCUUGUUCUCAAAGCAGAUUCAUUAAUAUCCUCAAGGUGGAAGAGCAAAACUCAGACCACUUCAUCUUUUUCUCUUUCAAAAUAUGCUUCAAGUAUGUAUAAAUGCAAGUUCAAGUACAUAUUCUUUUUCCCCUUUUUAAUGCAAGGUAGCAUACGAUACAUGCUAUUCUGAACCCUGCUUUGGGCAAUUUCAUCCUAAAAUGUUGCUGAUUAUAUUAAAAUAAUCUUUUUAACAAUGUGACACCAAUGCUAUACUGGCUGAAAAUCUGCCUUAGUGGAAUAGCAUUUAUCCGUUACAGAAAUUACAACCUCUCUCUAAAUACUAUACCUUGGCUGGGCAUAGUGACUAGUGAUUCAUACCUCUAAUGCUAGCAUUUUUGGAGGCCAAGGGAGGGGGGAUCACUUGAGUUCAGUAGUUCAAGACCAGCCUAGGCAACAUAGUGAGAUGCUCAUCUACACACACACACACACAAAAACAAUAGCAGGAUGUGGUGGUGCCCAGCUGCUUGGGAGGCUGAGGUAGGAGGAUCACUUGGGCCAAGAGGUUAAGGCUACAGUGAGCUAUGAUCACACCACUGCACUCCAGCCUGGGUGACAGCAAGACCCUGUCUCGAAAAAAAAAAAAAAAUCUGUACUUCCAGGUCAUGUCUGCAGUAGCCAAACAUCAAUAAGACAAACAAAAAAGGCUGUCGGAUUUGUUUUAAGCACACUAAAACAUGAUUUGACUAUAUAGAGAUGAUUAACAUGGCCCCUACCUGACGAUGACACACAAGUUCAUGAAGCAUUUCACAUUUUUUAAAAAUGGUUAGAACCUUAUAGAAAUUACUUGAAGUAAAUGAAUCCUUGCUGACAAUCAGCACAACCUUAGGUAACACUGUGUUGUAACAUUGCAAUGAAAUUUGAGUUCUCCCAACAUAUACAUUGGGCUUUGUAGGUAUCCUUAGUUAAGUAGUUUUGCUUUAUAUAACUGCUAAAUUUGCAUUUAUUGAUACUUCUCCUGACUAUAGUAUUUGCUUAGCAUUAUUCUUUCCCGUUAUUUUAAAUUAAGCCUCUCAAAACUUUGACAUAAUUUUUUUCUUUGUUUUUGAUCAGGGGAAGUGAAGUUCUACAAUUUCUCCUCAGAGUACUUUGCUAUAAUACACAUACCUGCUCUACAUUCUUGCUGGAGGCUGAACCCUGCCUAGAACAUGAUGGGGGCUUACAUAAGGAAGGGCACACAGUGGCAUUUGUCCCCAACCAACAGAUAAUCUAGUUAUUUAAUGAAGUACCAAAGGAUGAAACAAAACUAGGAUAAACUCGGGAUGACUAUUCUUCAGGCCUAUACUGCUCAGAUUAUAAUGUGACGUUUUAAGCUGGAAGAUCAUUUGAAUUGACCCAACCCCAACUUUUACAGACUUGAAAAAAAGCAAAUCAUCUUAAUGAUUAAAUGACUUGCUCAGCGUGUGUCAAGG